CGCAGCCCUUUGCCUUCCGCGCCCAGCACCAGUGCCAGCGGCGCGUGCAACGGCACUUUGCUGAGAUCGCCCUGGCCUUCGCUGUCGAGGCCCACCGUGAGGAAGCCAGCCUCGUUCAUCNNNNNNNGGUUCGGAACCUCAACGAUGGGCACAAGCUCAAGUGCGCCGGACGCGGACUUCGCCAGCACGCCCGUCGCUUCCGGACUGUGCCGUCCGGUGGUGACGAUCGCCUUGACGCCGAACGCGGCGGCCGAGCGCAGGAUCGCGCCGACAUUGUGCGGAUCGG
rnacentral:misc_RNA from 1 species